UCAGUUCACAAAUGAUAGUCAAGGUGAUGACAUUUAAAGUAGUUAAUAAAGCCAAACAGGAAAAAUCACAAAUUUCACAUUCUAUUGCAGAAAAUAGGCUUCCCUAUUAUUCACUCAAAUAAAUAAAAGAGCUUCCAGUUCAACCUUUUCUUAAGAAGGCUAAUAAGCUGAAAUAACGCAUAGAACCCUUUGAUAUGACCAGGCACUGCAAGAUUUAAAUUACAAACAAAUAGGAUGAAGAAAUUUUCACAAAGAAAAGAGAAGGGCCACACUUUCCACAAAUUUGAGUUAAUCCAAAGUUGAAAUCAUACACAUCCAAAUUGAAAAAACAAACUGAAACUCACCCUCAUAACUAUAAGGAAGAAUAGAAAAGAACAAGCAGUUGCAUUUCUUUAUGGUAUCUCUAUGAAUAACACUGUGAACCAUUUUACAACCAGCCGACUAAUGAGGUCACAGAUUUACUUGGCAUAUGCUGCAAAUUUUCACAGGGAAGUUUUGACAAGCCCCACAAUCAGCUAUUUCAGAUCCAGCAUUAUUAGGUGAAUUAUUCAAAAUAGCAAACAGAAGUUGAAUGUGAACUGGUCAAUAUCAAUCCCCCCUGGUUUGGAUAGUACCGUAUCAACACUUAAUGUUUAGUAAUCAUCAAGCAUAUAUAUCUAUUAUACAAGCGAUACUGUAAUACAAAACAUUUCCUAAGGGAUCAAGUCCACAAUUUUCAGCAGAUACUAAUUAUCAUACCUGUGUAAUCUUAGAAGAAACAGACGGUGUGAUCCUUUUAGAACUAGAGAUAUAGGACAUCAACAUCUCCAUGAAAUGCCGAUGCGGAUAGAUAUGGCAAGACGAUAAGUAUUUGCAAAAAAUGUUACAUCCCUCUCAAAAUUGCACCGCUUCUUGAAGUAUCAACAAAAACAAUAAACCCAGUAGUUUCCCACAAGUGGGGUUUGGGGAGGGUAAGAUGUACGCAGUCUUACCCCUACCCCUGGAAGGGCAGAGAGGCUGUUUCCGAUAGACUCUCGGCUAGAAAACGGCUGAAAAAGAAAAGAUAAUUGCAACAUGUAGGAAUAACAACAAGAUAAAAUAAGAUCGAAUCCAAGAAUUCAGUUAAACUCUAGAUAGUAACAGCACUCUAUGAAUAAAAAGAUAUCAUACUAACACUAAUGCUAGCGAACUGAGUAAGGCAAAGAGAAACGCUCGACCUACUAACCUUCUACCCUAAUCUUUGACCUCCACACCCUCAUGUCUAGGUCCAUGUCCUCAGUCAGCUGUACCAUGUCCCGCCUAAUAACCUCUCCCUAAUACCCUAAUCUUUGACCUCCACACCCUCAUGUCUAGGUCCAUGUCCUCAGUCAGCUGUGCCAUGUCCCGCCUAAUAACCUCUCCCCAAGACUUCUUAGGCCUACCUCUACCCCUUCUGCUAUCCACCGAAGCUAACCUCUAGCACCUUCUAACUGGGGCUUCUAUACUUCUCCUCUUAACAUGCCCGAACCAUCUCAUUCUCGCCUCCCGCAUCUUUAUCCUCCACAUGGGCCACUCCCACCUUUCCCCGAAUAACUUCAUUCCUAAUAUUAUCCAAUCGGGUAUGCCCACACAUCUACCUCAACAUCCUCAUCUCAGCUAAUUUCAGCUUUUGGGUAUGAGAGUUCUUGACCGGCCAACACUCUGCUCCAUGCAAACAUAGUCGGUCUAACUACAACCUUGUAGAACUUACCUGUAAGUCUCAGCAGCACAUUAUUAUCACACAAGACACCCGAAGGAAACCUCCACUUCAUCCAUCUGGCUCUGAUACGAUGCAUGACAUCUUCAUCAAUCUCCGCGUUACCUUGUAUUAUAAUCUCACCGGCACCACUUCUUGAAGCCUUUUCACUAUAAUAUGUAAAAGUGCCAGACUAUUGUAAUCCGUGCGAAUUGUAUUAUUAGGUAAAAUAGCUCAACAAGGCUCAUAAAGAGCCUUUUCUUCACUAGAAAAAGUUAAUUAAAGCUGUUCCAGAGCAUGUACAAUUCGCCUUAAAACUCCUUUUCAACUUUUACAGUUUACACAAGCAAUCAUAUCUAGGUUACAAUUUAGAAACUUCAUGUUCACAGUAUUCAGAAAAACCAUAGUCAAUUCUAUAUAGCAAUAAAAAGUUGGCCAAUAACAAUAGCAAAUUCACUUGAGCUAGCAUUUUGCUGAAAAACCAGCUAACUAAUAGUAUUACAAAAACAUUUAAAGAUACAAUUUUUACCCAUUAAUUGAGCUUAACAUGUUCAAACAAGAAUUAUACAGUGAACAAAGGUCAACCAACUUUAACAUUUACUCAGAAUUAAGACAUAACCAAAGUCAAACCACAUAAUACAUGAAAACUACACACCGGAUUAUAGAUUAAUAUAUACUGUAAUAAGAGAAGAAAACAAACCAAAAGAACCCACC
rnacentral:lncRNA from 1 species